GAGUUUGAUCAUGGCUCAGAUUGAACGCUGGCGGCAGGCUUAACACAUGCAAGUCGAACGCCCCGCAAGGGGAGGUGGCAGACGGGUGAGUAACGCGUGGGAAUCUACCCAGUUCUACGGAACAACUGAGGGAAACUUCAGCUAAUACCGUAUACGCCCUACGGGGGAAAGGAUUUAUUCGGAAUUGGAUGAGCCCGCGUUGGAUUAGCUAGUUGGUGAGGUAACGGCUCACCAAGGCGACGAUCCAUAGCUGGUCUGAGAGGAUGAUCAGCCACACUGGGACGUGAGACACGGCCCACGACUCCUACGGGAGGGCAGCAGUGGGGAAGUAUUGGACAAUGGGCGGCAAGCCUGAUCCAGCCAUGCCGCGUGAGUGAUG
rnacentral:rRNA from 1 species